CCGCUUCUCCACCAUUCCCUCCUCACCAUCAAUGUAAUUAUUGGUACGAACAAAGAGCUUGAUGAAAUGAUGAGGAAACCUCUUGCAAAGGGAGAACUAGCAACUAUUUGCUUUUAGCCCUUUCUUGAGAACUGACAUCACGAUCGAGUGAUCCAAAUCAUAGAUCUCCAACAUAGCCACUUUGAAAUGGCUCAUGUAACUCCAGAAAGAUUCUUUAUCUUUUUUCUUGAAUGGAGAAAAGGGCAUCUGUGCCCUUUUUCAACUUCCUGCUGCUCUAAAAUUGGGCAGCAAACUAACGACCAAACUCCUUAAAAGAGUGGAUGGAGUUUGGUCGGAGUUUGGUGUAUCAAGCUCGAGCAACACCUGAAGAGUGGCGGGAAAGAACUUGUACAGUAGAGCAUCCAAGACCCCUUACAACAUCAUGAGGGCCUUAAAGCUCUCCAAAUGGGUUGUAGGGGUUGGUGGUGCCAUCAUAAAUCCCCAUAGAUGAUGCCUUGAAGUGGUGAGAGAUCGGCUCCCUCAUGAUCAAUGCCAUAAAGGAAGGGUGAGUAGUAGACAAUGGCUCUCCUUUUAGAAUCAACUGGUGCUGGCGGAGGACCAUGAGGUAGUGGUCCACCUCUUGGAUAUUCCAAUCUAGCUCAUCUUGUCACUCGAGCCUCUUCCCAGGUCGGUAACUUGUAGAUCCACUCGUAGAGGAGUCCUGCGAGGAAGAAGAGAAUGAAAGAGGAGCAAGUUCAUGCUCCUUACCUCACUCACUGUCCUUGAGGUGAGGCUAAGGGACACGAGUCACCCCUCUUGAACCAGACGGUCAAGGGAGAUGAUGAAGGGAAGCUCGCUCAGGGCUCCAAUGGACGAAUCAGAAUACUUAGAGGGCUUUUUCUAGGCUGGCAGUAUGGGAUUGGUUACUCCGUCUCAAGCUCCUCAAAGGAGAAAGAUUAGGGUACACAGGGAUCAGGUGAUCGCUCAACGCCAGAGCGAAUUGAUAAGUCAACUACUGUAGGCCAUGCACUACAGUGGUUAGUGCCUGCGCAUACUACAGGAGCUACUAAAACUGCUCGAAGGUCAUGGUUGGGGUAAUCAAUGCCUCUAGAACACUUAGAUCCCAGUGACCCUGGUCGAGGUUGAUGGGUUCCAUGGAUAAUUAUGGAAGGGGGUGGAGGAUGAUACCACCACAAUCUUCCUACUAUUCAUACUUGGAUGAUGAAAAAAGAAACUCAAGACCUCAAAUAUGGAUCAAGCUCUUUCUUUAGUGCCAAUCUACUACUAUUGGAAAGUCGAGCUAGUUUAGGCCAAUGAGUUGGAGUUGAGAGAAAGAGAGAUAGUUGCAGGAUAGUUGAUCGAGACCUCUAGGUCAAAUACUGAUAUCAGAUCCUCGAUCGGUCCCAUAAGUCGGAUCCUGCAAAACUAUCAAACAUAAAAAAGUUCUCAUAAUAGGAGUUCAUAUGGAAGCAAACAGAAAAGGUCUGAGCUUUUAGGUGGAGCUUAGUAGAUAGGUCAAGCAUGAAAUGUAGUAGAUUGGAGCAGAGGAAUGGAGAGUGGAAGCUCAGAGAAUGCUAUGCAGAGUAGGAAGAUCAGAGGAGUUAGAUGAACUCAGAGCUC
rnacentral:lncRNA from 1 species